CAGAGUGAAGAGCGACGGCCGCCUCAGGUGGUCGUCCAGGUGAAUUCAUGUGACGCUGUGGCAGCUCCUGAUCUGAUUUCUUUCUGGUGGGUUUCCAGCAGAGGGCAGCAUGGCAGCAGCACCUGGUGAGUCCAUUCAGGAUUUAUGUCACCUGGAUGUUACCUGAGAGUU